AGCUUUAUAUUCAUAAAUGAUUUAAGAUUGCAAAUUUUAAGGUGAGUGUAACUCUAAGGCUU
rnacentral:tRNA from 1 species